UUAAAUGCGUCAUAAAACGUCAUGAAACGUCAUAUUUUUUAGUCUGCUCUUAGAUGUGGUUUAAACCAUGGUUUAAUUUUACGAGCAUGCGCACUUGAGGAGUUUGUGAAAAAUCGCUGAAGCGAAGAAAACUUUUCUUGCGGUCCUGGACCUGUCGAGCGGUCUUCUUGAUUAGAAAUUCCUACCUUUCCCAAGACAUUGUGGGCUACGUGAUGCUAAAAAUCCAUCGAAAUCGUACAAGGAUGGGCCAUCUCGAGAUCAGUAUCGACUGUCAAAAGAAACCGUCACCAAUAUGCUGGAAGCCGAAAUGAAGAGGGACACACAGAGGAUUGAUCAACUUCCUGUUUAUUUGCAGGUGUUGACAACUCUCCAUUUUUAUGCAGUGGGAUCAUUUUAAAAGAUGCAUGGUGAUGAGGCAGCAAUAUCGCAGUCAUCAAUGUGUCAGAAGCUAAAGCAAGAAGGAAGAGGCAAUACAUGAAGAUUCCUACAACAAGAGAAGUUGAAGCAACUCGGAGACAGUUCUAUCUAACUGUUAGAUUUCCAGGAGUGAAAGGUGCAAUUGAUGGGACACAUGUCUACAUCAAGAGCCGGGGGGAUUGGGCCAUAUGCUUCUUAUAUACCCCUUCCAACUUCAUGUGGAGAGGAAUUCCUAUAACAAUGGCAAAAGCAUUAAGAACAUAGAAACACAGAGUUCAUUCAAAUUUAUGAAGAAUACUUUACUUCUUUAUUUGUUAAUAAAUUGAUUGGUGUAACCUG